rnacentral:rRNA from 1 species
AGGACGAACGCUGGCGGCGUGCCUAACACAUGCAAGUCGAACGAGGUCCAACCGGUAGCAAUACCGGUGAAGAUCAAGUGGCGAACGGGUGAGUAGCACGUGAGCAACCUGCCCCGAAGACCGGGACAACACCGGGAAACCGGUGCUAAUACCGGAUAUCCCCACCGAGUCGCAUGGCUCAGUGAGGAAAUGGAUUCCGCUUCGGGAGGGGCUCGCGGCCUAUCAGCUAGUUGGUGAGGUAACGGCUCACCAAGGCUUCGACGGGUAGCUGGUCUGAGAGGACGAUCAGCCACACUGGGACUGAGACACGGCCCAGACUCCUACGGGAGGCAGCAGUGGGGAAUCUUGCACAAUGGGCGAAAGCCUGAUGCAGCAACGCCGCGUGAGGGACGAAGGCUUUCUGAGUUGUAAACCUCUUUCAGCAGGGACGAUUGUGACGGUACCUGCAGAAGAACGCCCGGCAACUACGUGCCAGCAGCCGCGGUAAU